rnacentral:lncRNA from 1 species
AGUCUAGUAAAUCGCAUAGGACUUCUCCUUUUCUAUCAAGGUCGAUAGAUUCUAUUUAUGUACAUCCUAUUUCAAACAACGAACCUGAAUCUACUAUAGCCAACAUAUACAGCAAAGAUUCAAAUGGCUAGAGAUAAAAAAAUAUGUAGUCAAACUCAGUACCCUCACUAUGAAUAGUCGAUGACACCGUAGGUUAAAAGACCACUCACACCC